AACCCGCCUGCAUGAAGUUGGAAUUGCUAGUAAUCGCGGAUCAGAAUGCCGCGGUGAAUACGUUCCCGGGUCUUGUACACACCGCCCGUCACACCAUGGGAGUCGGAAAUGCCCGAAGUCAGUGACCCAACCGGAAGGAAGGAGCUGCCGAAGGUGGAGCCGGUAACUGGGGUGAAGUCGUAACAAGGUAGC
rnacentral:rRNA from 1 species